rnacentral:rRNA from 1 species
AGAGUUUGAUCCUGGCUCAGGACGAACGCUGGCGGCGUGCCUAAUACAUGCAAGUCGAGCGAGCGGAACUAACAGAUUUACUUCGGUAAUGACGUUAGGAAAGCGAGCGGCGGAUGGGUGAGUAACACGUGGGGAACCUGCCCCAUAGUCUGGGAUACCACUUGGAAACAGGUGCUAAUACCGGAUAAGAAAGCAGAUCGCAUGAUCAGCUUUUAAAAGGCGGCGUAAGCUGUCGCUAUGGGAUGGCCCCGCGGUGCAUUAGCUAGUUGGUAAGGUAAAGGCUUACCAAGGCGAUGAUGCAUAGCCGAGUUGAGAGACUGAUCGGCCACAUUGGGACUGAGACACGGCCCAAACUCCUACGGGAGGCAGCAGUAGGGAAUCUUCCACAAUGGACGCAAGUCUGAUGGAGCAACGCCGCGUGAGUGAAGAAGGUUUUCGGAUCGUAAAGCUCUGUUGUUGGUGAAGAAGGAUAGAGGUAGUAACUGGCCUUUAUUUGACGGUAAUCAACCAGAAAGUCACGGCUAACUACGUGCCAGCAGCCGCGGUAAUACGUAGGUGGCAAGCGUUGUCCGGAUUUAUUGGGCGUAAAGCGAGCGCAGGCGGAAGAAUAAGUCUGAUGUGAAAGCCCUCGGCUUAACCGAGGAACUGCAUCGGAAACUGUUUUUCUUGAGUGCAGAAGAGGAGAGUGGAACUCCAUGUGUAGCGGUGGAAUGCGUAGAUAUAUGGAAGAACACCAGUGGCGAAGGCGGCUCUCUGGUCUGCAACUGACGCUGAGGCUCGAAAGCAUGGGUAGCGAACAGGAUUAGAUACCCUGGUAGUCCAUGCCGUAAACGAUGAGUGCUAAGUGUUGGGAGGUUUCCGCCUCUCAGUGCUGCAGCUAACGCAUUAAGCACUCCGCCUGGGGAGUACGACCGCAAGGUUGAAACUCAAAGGAAUUGACGGGGGCCCGCACAAGCGGUGGAGCAUGUGGUUUAAUUCGAAGCAACGCGAAGAACCUUACCAGGUCUUGACAUCUAGUGCCAUUUGUAGAGAUACAAAGUUCCCUUCGGGGACGCUAAGACAGGUGGUGCAUGGCUGUCGUCAGCUCGUGUCGUGAGAUGUUGGGUUAAGUCCCGCAACGAGCGCAACCCUUGUUAUUAGUUGCCAGCAUUAAGUUGGGCACUCUAAUGAGACUGCCGGUGACAAACCGGAGGAAGGUGGGGAUGACGUCAAGUCAUCAUGCCCCUUAUGACCUGGGCUACACACGUGCUACAAUGGGCAGUACAACGAGAAGCGAGCCUGCGAAGGCAAGCGAAUCUCUGAAAGCUGUUCUCAGUUCGGACUGCAGUCUGCAACUCGACUGCACGAAGCUGGAAUCGCUAGUAAUCGCGGAUCAGCACGCCGCGGUGAAUACGUUCCCGGGCCUUGUACACACCGCCCGUCACACCAUGGGAGUCUGCAAUGCCCAAAGCCGGUGGCCUAACCUUCGGGAAGGAGCCGUCUAAGGCAGGGCAGAUGACUGGGGUGAAGUCGUAACAAGGUAGCCGUAGGAGAACCUGCGGCUGGAUCACCUCCUUU